CACGAACCGUACGAACGUUAUUCGGAAUUACUGGGCUUAAAGGGUUUGUAGGCGGCCUUGUAAGUCAGGUGUGAAAUCCCUCGGCUCAACCGAGGAAUGGCGCUUGAUACUGCAAGGCUUGAGGGAGACAGGGGUAAGCGGAACUGAUGGUGGAGCGGUGAAAUGCGUUGAUAUCAUCAGGAACACCGGUGGCGAAAGCGGCUUACUGGGUCUCUUCUGACGCUGAGGAACGAAAGCUAGGGUAGCGAACGGG
rnacentral:rRNA from 1 species